rnacentral:rRNA from 1 species
GGUGCUCGAGUGGCGAACGGGUGAGUAACACGUGAGUAACCUGCCCUUGACUUUGGGAUAACUUCAGGAAACUGGGGCUAAUACCGGAUAGGAGCUCCUGCUGCAUGGUGGGGGUUGGAAAGUUUCGGCGGUUGGGGAUGGACUCGCGGCUUAUCAGCUUGUUGGUGGGGUAGUGGCUUACCAAGGCUUUGACGGGUAGCCGGCCUGAGAGGGUGACGGCCACAUUGGGACUGAGAUACGGCCCAG